CUGUAAGUCUGCCAGUCCCACAGGAAUGUCAUGGACAUUCCAGGGUAUUUCAGAUGUUAUUGAGGGCCCAAAGAGUAACUGAACCAAAGCCUAAAUGACAGAAGAAAAGUAGUAUCUAUAAUAGGAUAAAUGUCUAAACAUGAGCUAUGGAACUAAGCUCACACAACAAUCAAUGGAGAUCCUGUGCCUAGAGUUUACAAGAUUGUGGGAAGAUGAAUAUUCAGCUAAAGCAGAAAAUAUUAGAGUAUCAAAGACAGCUGCACAAAACUGGCAGAUAAGAGACCUGACAAGUGGAGUCAAGAUGAGGUCCCUCAUUUAAUGCCUCUUAAAUGGAGUCAAUAGGAAGAUUUUUUUAUUCAACUGAAUUUUGGUUUUGGUUCACAUGUAGACAUCUAUAUUUACAUAUACCUAAAUGUAUACCUACAUUUAGGUGUUAACCACCUUAUUAUGUCAAACUAGACUACAGAAGAUGUAGCCAUGUGACUUAAAUAAAUAGUUCUGAAAGAAAGGAUGAAAAAUGCAUAGAAAGUUGAAGCUGUCAUCCUCUUUCACAUUUCCUUUCUUAAUUCCAUUGCUCUGUCAAUAUUUUCAAUAUUCCACAAAACAAUCUAAAAACAGAUUCCUUGCUUAUAUUGCAACAUAUUGUAGAGUAUAGUAAGCUUGUGUUUCACUGUUGUUUACAAUUUUAUAUCAAAUGCAAAAUAAAUAUUUUGGAUACAUUUUGGAUAUAUUUUUCAGCAGUCGCAUAAAUUUGUGAAUAAGGAAAUUUGAGCAUGGAAUCUCUAAAUCAUUUAAUAGCCUGUCUGAACAUCCAGUGU